ensembl:lncRNA
CCGCCCCGCCCCUGCCCCGGCUUGCGUUUGCGUUCUCAGCCGCAGGGAAAGAGGCCGAUCAGGCUCCGGGCUCCGCGGCUUCACAGCUGGACGGCCUCGCCCGAGGCACCCAGCCUCCCCGAGCCGGCCGCCAUGGACUGCUUGCUCUUGUGGGAAAGUGGAAAGCAGCUGACCAGGGACCGGGGAUGCUAGUCAACCAGUAAUUCUCAGUGUAACCUAGACCAAGCCCAACCUGCUGGCUUGUGAAAUCCAGUGUCAGUUUCCACGUCUGUAAAGUGAAGGGGCCAUUCAUCUCUGUACGGAAAAACUUGUUAACAAAAGUGGAGAACCAAAGUGGACUGGCAAGACUUAUACGCACAGUACAUCAUGCAAAAUGCUGGACUGGAUGAAGCAUAAGCUGGAACCAAGAUUGCAGGGAGAAAUAUCAGUAACCUCAGAUAUGCGGAUAAGUAACCUCAGAUAUGCGGAUAA